rnacentral:rRNA from 1 species
CACAUGCAAGUCGAGGGGCAGCAGGAUCUUGCAAUAGAUUGCUGGCGACCGGCGCACGGGUGAGUAACACGUAUCCAACCUGCCGAUAACUCGGGGAUAGCCUUUCGAAAGAAAGAUUAAUACACGAUGGUAUAAUCAGACCGCAUGGUCUUGUUAUUAAAGAAUUUCGGUUAUCGAUGGGGAUGCGUUCCAUUAGGCAGUUGGUGAGGUAACGGCUCACCAAACCUUCGAUGGAUAGGGGUUCUGAGAGGAAGGUCCCCCACAUUGGAACUGAGACACGGUCCAAACUCCUACGGGAGGCAGCAGUGAGGAAUAUUGGUCAAUGGGCGCAGGCCUGAACCAGCCAAGUAGCGUGAAGGAUGACUGCCCUAUGGGUUGUAAACUUCUUUUAUAUGGGAAUAAAGUUUUCCACGUGUGGAAUUUUGUAUGUACCAUAUGAAUAAGGAUCGGCUAACUCCGUGCCAGCAGCCGCGGUAAUACGGAGGAUCCGAGCGUUAUCCGGAUUUAUUGGGUUUAAAGGGAGCGUAGGUGGACAGUUAAGUCAGUUGUGAAAGUUUGCGGCUCAACCGUAAAAUUGCAGUUGAUACUGGCUGUCUUGAGUACAGUAGAGGUGGGCGGAAUUCGUGGUGUAGCGGUGAAAUGCUUAGAUAUCACGAAGAACUCCGAUUGCGAAGGCAGCUCACUGGACUGCAACUGACACUGAUGCUCGAAAGUGUGGGUAUCAAACAGGAUUAGAUACCCUGGUAGUCCACACAGUAAACGAUGAAUACUCGCUGUUUGCGAUAUACAGUAAGCGGCCAAACGAAAGCAUUAAGUAUUCCACCUGGGGAGUACGCCGGCAACGGUGAAACUCAAAGGAAUUGACGGGGGCCCGCACAAGCGGAGGAACAUGUGGUUUAAUUCGAUGAUACGCGAGGAACCUUACCCGGGCUUAAAUUGCAUUUGAAUAUAUUGGAAACAGUAUAGCCGUAAGGCAAAUGUGAAGGUGCUGCAUGGUUGUCGUCAGCUCGUGCCGUGAGGUGUCGGCUUAAGUGCCAUAACGAGCGCAACCCUUAUCUUUAGUUACUAACAGGUCAUGCUGAGGACUCUAGAGAGACUGCCGUCGUAAGAUGUGAGGAAGGUGGGGAUGACGUCAAAUCAGCACGGCCCUUACGUCCGGGGCUACACACGUGUUACAAUGGGGGGUACAGAAGGCAGCUACCUGGUGACAGGAUGCUAAUCCCAAAAGCCUCUCUCAGUUCGGAUCGAAGUCUGCAACCCGACUUCGUGAAGCUGGAUUCGCUAGUAAUCGCGCAUCAGCCAUGGCGCGGUGAAUACGUUCCCGGGCCUUGUACACACCGCCCGUCAAGCCAUGAAAGCCGGGGGUACCUGAAGUACGUAACCGCAAGGAGCGUCCUAGGGUAAAACUGGUAAUUGGGGCUAAGUC